AUUCUGGCUCAGAUUGAACGCUGGCGGGAUGCUUUACACAUGCAAGUCGAACGCGGCAAGCACGGACUUCGGUCUGGUGGCGAGUGGCAGGUGGGUGAGUAAUAUCCGGAACGUGCCUAGUAGCGGGGGAUAACUACGCGAAAGCGUAGCUAAUACCAUACGCCCUUCGGGGAAAGCGAGGGAUCUUCGGGCCUCGCACUAUUAGGAAGCAGCCGAUAUCGGAUUAGCUAGUUGGUGGGGUAACGGCUCACCAAGGCGACGAUCCGUAGCUGGUUUGAGAGGACGACCAACCACACUGCGGGACUGAGACACGGCCCAGACUCCUACGGGAGGCAGCAGUGGGGAAUUUUGGACAAUGGGGAAACCCUGAUCCAGCCAUCCCGCGUGUGCGAUGAAGGCCUUCGGGUUAUAAGCACUUUUUGGCAGGAAAGAAACGGCACGGGAUAAUACCCCGUGCAACUGACAAUACCACUGCAGAACCAGCACCGGCUUAACUACGUGCCAGCAGCCGCGGUAAUACGUAGGGGUGCAAGCGUUAAUCGGAAAUUACUGGGCGUAAAGCGUGCGCAGGCGGUUCGGAAGAAAGAUGUGAAAUCCCAGAGCUUAACUUUGGAACUGCAUUUUUAACUACCGAGCUAGAGUGUGUGCAGAAGGUGCGUUCCGCGUGUAGCAGUGAAAUGCGUAAGAUAUGCGGAGGAACACCAAUUGGCGAAGGCAGCCUCCUGGGAUAACGCGGCAGCAUCAUGCAGAAAGCGUGGGGAGCAAACAGGAUUAGAUACCCUGGUAGUCACGCCCUAAACGAUGUCAACUAGCUGUUGGGGCCUUCGGGCCUUGGUAGCGCAACUAACAUGAGGUUGACCGCCUGGGGAGUACGGUCGCAAGAUUAAAACUCAAAGGAAUUGACGGGGACCCGCACAAGCGGUGGAUGAUGUGGACAAUUCGAUGCAACGCGAAAAACCUUACCUACCCUUGACAUGUCUGGAAUCCCGAAGAUUUGGGAGUGCUCGCAAGAGAACCGGAACACAGGUGCUGCAUGGCUGUCGUCAGCUCGUGUCGUGAGAUGUUGGGUUAAGUCCCGCAAUAGGCGCAACCCUUGUCAUUAGUUGCUACGAAGAGCGCUCAGCCAGGACUGCCGGUGACAAACCGGAGGAAGAUGGGGAUGACGUCAAGUCCUCAUGGCCCUUAUGGGUAGGGCUUCACGUCAUACAAUGGUCGGGACAGAGGGUCGCCAGCCCGCGAGGGGAGCCAAUCCCAGAAACCCGAUCCUUGAUCCGGAUCGCAGUCUGCAACUCGACUGCGUGAAGUCGGAAUCGCUAAUCGCGGAUCAGCAUGUCGCGGUGAAUACGUUCCGGAUGUAACACACACCGCCCGUCACACCAUGGGAGUGGGUUUACAAGUAGUUUAGCCUAACCGUAAGGAGGGCGAUUACCACGGUAGGAUUCCGCUGACUGGGGUGAAGUCGUAACAGGUAG
rnacentral:rRNA from 1 species